AUGUCAGUGUCUUAUUUACCUGAAUGACAUGCACAUCAUGUCACAGGGGAGCUUGUUUGGUUGAGAAUCACGCCAGGAAAGUCAAGGACAUCCAUUUGAGCCCCAUCAGUGGGAUCACUGUGUUCUAUGGCUGCAAACGGAACCCGCAGCUCCAACUGGUUGUCCGGAGUCUUUGUCACACACAUACACGCACCCACAUACACGCCACCACACCUUCUGGACCAGUGGAGAUUCGGUGAUGAAAUCACUCAGAAGCAGGAUUGCAAACUAGUCCCCUCUCUCCCGCUGACUGGAUGAUCUGAAGCGGCUGCCUGUGGAGCUAAUUUGAGGAAGAUGCUGAAACCAGGUCUUGGCUCUGCUGGAAGAACUGUCAUACUGGACCAGACGAUGAGCUAUGAAAGAC
ensembl:lncRNA